rnacentral:rRNA from 1 species
UACGGGGGGGGCAAGCGUUGUUCGGAAUUACUGGGCGUAAAGGGCUCGUAGGCGGCCAACUAAGUCAUACGUGAAAUCCCUCGGCUUAACCGGGGAACUGCGUCUGAUACUGGAUGGCUUGAGUUCGGGAGAGGGAUGCGGAAUUCCAGGUGUAGCGGUGAAAUGCGUAGAUAUCUGGAGGAAUACCGGUGGCGAAGGCGGCAUCCUGGACCGGCAUUGACGCUGAGGAGCGAAAGCCAGGGGAGCAAAGCGGGG